CUGUCAAAAAGUAUCACUCUAAGAGAUUAUUUCUGUUUUUCAGGAGAAGACAAAUCUAAAAGUCAAGUAACUUUAAGCCCACAAUAAAUCCACCUCCAAGCAUGAGCCACUCUGACAUUAAGCAGUGAUGCUUCUCUGAACACAAGCACACUAACUGACCGGAUACUGCAGCUCCAGGACCCGACUUUCAAGCUUAGCCCACACUUAUCUACCUACUUGGUAGUAACCAACACUGAGGAGCUGACAAAGGAACCAGCAAAAAUUAUGCUGAUGGGGAGAUUCCCCUAUACCAUGGGAGAAUCUUCAACCCCAUGUAUAAUACUUUUCAAGAUAAAUCCACUUCAAAAGUCAUUCCUCAAUCCUCAGCUGCACCCAACUUAAGAAAUAAAAAGAUACGAACCUUGUUUAGACAGUCUUCGCAGUAAAGUGAGCCCUUUAAACAAACCGGAGGUACCACAUUAAGGUGCAAAGAGUUGGUGCACAAGUGAGGCGUUAGCUCCGACUGUGAAAUGUGCUCUUCCAAAUGCCCUGGAGCCCCGCUUG